UUGGCGGGAAUGCUAUUGUUAGGGUAGUUAGACUCCUGUCGGUCAAGCUGACCACAAGUAUAUUUUCCUGGUUCAAGAUUUUAGACAGGUUAAAAAUAUAUUGAAAGAGAAAGAUAUUGACAGAGAACUUGGAAGUAUUGUGUAGGAUGGCUCUGUGCCACACACAGAGUGACUACCGGUACAUUACAUUCCAUUCCUUUCCGUAUUGGUUCUCGUUCGUGUUCACGUUUUGUACAACAUGUGCUGUGUGUAAUACUGGUCGAAACUCUUCAGAAUAAAGAACUCAUCAUCUUA